ncrna:unclassified sequences lysM-TM7 RNA
GCGUACCACUGUCUAUCGCACGGAUGUAACAUUAGCAAAGGCUGCGUGCCUUGCUUUCAUUCUUUCAAUAUUACUAAUAAUUUUGGUCGAGUACAUCCCGUUCUUGUAAAAAGAAGAAAGAUAGCGGCGGUAUGGUCUCUAUAUAGGGAGACGGGAG